GUAAUUUGGUGUGAGAACAAUUUUUUUGGGUACAAAUUCACUAAACAACUUUCCCUCAAAGAAACCGAGGGAGAUUGAGAAUUGAGUAUUGAGUAUUGAGUAUUGAGUAUUGACGAAGCAGUCAGGCCUCAGUAGUCAGGCCUCAGUAGUCGCCUAGUCGGCACUCGACACUAAAAAGUCGCAGUUUACAAAACGACUCCACGUCCCUCACUAUCUUCCACAAAGUACCUGAUUCCGUUGAAGAUUUCCUGCUCCAGUGAACUACUCAAACAACAUUAAACUUCUGUUUACCAUUUCUAUUAUUCAAGUACAUGUGUGUUUGCCAAUGUAGUAAUGGAGUUCAAAAUUUUCCUAUAACGCGCUUGGAAUAAAGGGUAUGAAGAUAGUAGUCGCUACCUUGGAGACUGGCAAUCCUGAUGUUUCAUUUGGAGGUGGCCCAAUGGUAGAUUCUGGUGCUGAGCAAGUUGAACAUAAAGAAUAUAUAGAGAAACUGCUUCUUAUAAACAACUUUUUAAAGUCGAGUCUUUGUUAAAAGUGUGGAUGAAGGAUAUGAAGCAGGCAUUCCAAUUCCUGAGUUUCUGAAAUAUGGGCAUAAAUGAUCUCAAUAAGGUUGACAAAAGAUGUAAAUGUUGAGGAAGUACAGAAUGAAUAUAGAGAUUCUGCUGCUUAUAAAUAACCACCCUUGUAAGUCAAGAGUCUCUUGAUAAUGAUGUAAAUGAAGAAAAUGAACCAAGGUUUUCAAUGCCUGAACAGCAUCCAGGACCACUGAACAAGUGAGCUUAAUGAUAUUCACAGACAGAGAAAAUGUUGCGAAUGUGCAGAAGGAAUGUAAAGACCAUUCCCAAUGAGGUUGACAAAAACAUGGGAAGUUUUGAGGAAGUGCAAAUAGAAGCUGCUGAUACUGAAGUAUCUGAGUCACAGGAUGAAUAAAAAAUAGAUCAGGUGUUUAGUUCCAGUUUUGCAAAGCCACAUUCUCUGGGAAAGGAAAAAAAAAGAAUGCCAAGCAUGAACCUUUGAAGCCUGGAAGCUUGACGAAAGAUGACCGUGUAUGUUAUCAACCUGAUCAACUUGGUGAAUAUGUUGGAGCAUUAGCACGUUUUUCUAAUAGUGGUGAAGUCUAGCAUUAUCUCUUUAUCAUUUGGUAGGUAAUGACACCAUAUUUGACUUUCAGUGUCAUGAGGAUUGGUAGAUUGUGAUGCCGAUCCACUUCUUGAGAAUCAAGGGAUACAGGAUGACAUUGAACAUUUACAUUCAAUGAAUGGAGUUCAUGUCAAGAAAGGGCUUCAUAACCGCAACACAAUCUGAAUGAUAUUGUAUACCAAAGAAGAAAAGAGAAAAGCAUCGCAAUUUAAUGUGAGACAAUGUAUUACCUUGCUGGGGAAUUUGAGGAUGAUAUUGUUUUAACUUCCUGUACGCUGGUGCUAAGAAAAAACUAUCCGAGUUCCUUAAAGAUGAUUUAACUCCUCCUUAGGCCACUAAAACUAUCGAUGUAGCUAAGGUUUUAAGUGCUGCAAUACCAAGUCCUCAGCAAUCAUACAAAGUUGUUGUAUGCAUUAGCAGAGCAGCAAGCCAAAUGACCGGAUCAUCAGCAAAUACCAAAGGUUGCAAACUUGCAAUUAGGGAAGUAACAAUGAACAUUCAGGGCAUGCUGCUGAUGCCGUAAUAAGAACUUUGAAAUGGAUCUCUGACUGAAGGCAAACCAAUAAAAGCAAAAAAAAUUAUUUGGAUGAUGUGAUCUCGUAUCUUCACUUAUCUGCAUAAGAUCCCAUGAAAAAAUGCAGCUUCGUGGGUGAGAUUGUUAGUUUUUUAUGUAAAUUCAGAAUUUUCUGUCACAACUCAGCGACGAUGAAUGCAAUAAGAACUAUUAACCCACAGUUCCUGUUGCUGAAUCCUUUGAGGCUUUACGAUUUGAUGAUAGAAAUGGCUAGCUGGACUGACGUGGUUGUCCAAGGUAAUACUAAAGCUAAACCAACUAGACGUGGUUGUAAGAGAAAAUUUCAACAGGUUGUUUCUCGUGAUAAUGAGAAGCAUCUUCAACUAAAGCCUAAGAAAUAAUCCAGAAAAAGUCAUAUCAUAGUGAUUAUGAAGUAGUUCCUGAGAUGCCUACGGAGGACGAUAAGCUCCUAAACCUGCCAACGGCCCAACAGAGCUCAUGCUGAACUUAGAAGCUGGGUUCUACUUUUAGCGUUGAGUUUGAGCAAAAGGUUCAGGUGUUUUGGGUCUUUGAAGGAAUCGGAGGCAGAAGUAGAUAUGCAAAACAGUCUUGCUAGAGGUGUUAAAAAAUUGUUCAGAUGCUGAAGUUGCUUAUAAUACUGCUGCAACGUUUUACAUUUUUGAGUCAACGCUAAUCAACUACCAGCUAAUUAUACGCCUUCUGUUUCCUUUAGAAGUUCACCCCUUCUUUGACAAAUGCAAAAGAGAAUCCAACUUAACGUCUUGUCCCCAUCGAGGAUUUUCAGGUCAAUGCUGGAGUAUACACCUACUGCUUUGUGGAUUGUAGGUAUGAUAAACAGCAGCAUAUUCGACAGAGAAGGUAACGUGGCAUUUUUCUGGUCACUGCAUUUUACUUUCUGUUGUCCCUUGCUAUUUCGAUAUUGAGGAAGGUUAUUCAUGUUUCUGUACCUUGAAGCUUUAUGCAGAAGCUCAGCAUGACAAUGCUAGUAAGGCCACCUUGGCAUCUUACAAAUUAUUAAUUUUCAAACAUUUUGUUGUCCGGAAUUGAUGUAUUUUGUCUAAUCAACUCAGCAUGAGCAUUUCAUGAGAAGCUCUUGUAUUCCCUUCCCUUCUUCCAAGAGAGUUACUCUCACUGUUCUUAUGACUUUGCCACACUUUUUUUUAAUCUAUCCUUUUUAUUUUGCUCCAGUUUCUUUUUAUGGAGAUGUCUUUUUAUAGAAAUGUCACCACCACUUUCUUUCAUUCACAUCCAAACAUUUCAACUUAAUAUCUUCUACACAAAUUGAAUGGUCUCACCAUAUCUUAAUCUUUGUGCAAUGCUCCUUUGUUGCAAUCUAAAAUGUACCGAGGGAGUAUUGAUGAAUCAAAUAGGAGAAUUAGCUUUUUUGAUGCCUAAUGAAUUGCAUAUAACUUUCAAGAAGCUGUCAUGAGCUUUAGAGGAGCCAUUAAAUUUUCACAUCUGUAACAUUUUAUGGGAACGUUUUACCGUUUACUUAACCAAUUAGAUUUUUAUAUCUUCGAGAAGAAAUUGAUCAUCACUUAUAUUUUCUUCUAUUCAUUCCAUUCUAUUGUUAUAAGAUCAGGCGAAUCCUAAUUAUUUAUGUCAUUCUUCACUCUUGUUAUCCAGGUUAAAUCCGAGUUUCCUCUUUCUAUUUUAAUCUCAUCAAUGCUCAAACCUUCCACUUUUCUUACUUGUGCAGUUGUCCAUUCUCCAUCAUUCUUUGCAUAUGAUGAAACGAACAUAAACGAUUUUCUUUCAUUUUAUGUUUACUAUUUGCGAUUCAAUUUUGAAUUCUAUUUGUUGGGGUAUAAGUCAUCCAUCUUUAACAUACGCAUCUCAACUACUCCAUUUUCCUACAAUGAUUACUUCUAAAAGCACACCAUUUUGAUUCAUAUAGUAGUGUUGGUCUAAUCACACAUCGAUUGAAUUUUCCUAUUGACUUUAGUUGCACACUUCGGUUUGCAUAAUUUUUUUAGUCAUAGUUAUCCAUUUUAGUUAUCUUCGCUGAAUCGUAUGCUUUACUUGGCAAUAUCUCUAACAAUCUCUUUAUGUUGGUUUCUUUGUAGUCCAAUCUAUAUUGUUUGAUUAACACUUUAGCAUUGUUGUUGAGAGGGAAUUGGUGAACAAACUGCAAUCCCAAACUCUUACAGUUUACAAUUGAGGGUAGCUUUUCUGUUGAAUUUGGGAUUAGCGACAAUCUUAGUUCUUCUUGGUUCUAUCUUUUGCACCCAAUUGAGAUCACUCUUGACUCCCUUUGAAACAUCUACAACAAAUAAUGUAAUCCUCACUGGGCCAGCCUUCCAUAUUGAUCAACCCCUUACUGAUUGUCUUGUUAGAUUGUAUUUCUCUUGAUUUUCUAUCUAGUCUAAUUGUAAACUCUACAUCUUUGCUGUAAACCCCAAUGUACUUUUGCAGGUUUUGUCAAUUUUAUUCUUGAACAUGAAAUCAAUUGAAUGAUUAUAGUUCAUUUGAAUUGAAUCUUAAUACUUCUGCAGAGAUGCAUGUGGUUAUGAAAAAGAUCUUCAUACCAGAAUACAUUCUAUGCAGAUGUGCGGCAUUUGUUAUGCAUUUGACAUAUUUCAAACGUCGUUUAGAACAUGGUGAAUAAGUUGUGUGGCAGGAAAAGAAAUCAACAAGGGCAUGUAUUCAGGAAAAGUAGAUGGAACCCCUUGGUUAAAAGUUCUACAAUCGACGAAUUUGAACAGAGAUGGCAAUCAAUCGUGACUACCUGGUCGGUUGGGAACAAAAAGGUCAUUCGGUAUUUGGCUGGAACAUGGAUUCCACUUAGAGAGAAAUUUGUGCAUGCGUGGACGAAUGAAUAUUUACACAUGGGUAACCAGACUACCAGCAAAGUUGAAAGCCAACACUCGUCUUUCAAGUAUUAUCUUGGUAGCGGUAAUAGCUCAUUUGAUACCCUGUUCAAAAGGGCACACGCACAGAUUACAAACCAGCAAGCCAGGAUCCGACAAGCGCUACAGGAAUCCAUGAAUUCUGUAGUAAGUUCGUUGUGACAACAUUUCUUUAUACAUUUAUAUCGCCACGUAUCUAUCUAGGUCUUGGAGCAGCUGCGGCUUGAGCAUAACCGUAUGUUAAAUUUGGGUGAUUAUGUAUUUAACAAAUGCGGUUGUGUGCUUUAACGCACUCAUGGAUUGCCGUGUGCUUGUUAUUUAUAUAUGUCCAUCGGUUCACAAGGUGCUUUGUAUUUGGAUGACAUUCAUCUAUUCUGGAGUACUUUAACGUACACAGAGGUAAGAGAUGACUCCAAUGAAGGAGUACGAUACGCGAACUCCGAUGACAAAGAAUACUUUCAAUCUUUGGUCGAUGAAGUCCUAAAAUCUGAUCCCGCAGUUGUACGACGCUUGUCUCAAGUACUUGAGUAUGAACUACACCCUGAUAGAGCCGAUAUACCUGAGCCUUACGCAAGUACACCUAGAAAGGGAAGACCAACCACAAGCAAAACCCUCAGAAGAAAUAAAAGCGCAUUUCAACUUAUUCGGAGGUCGUGAUUUUUCACUGUUUCCAUGGCCUAAUCACAUCCCAUACAUUCUUCCUCCUUACUUGUUUGAUUUGAUUGAUGUGUUAGGUCAUAGUAACUAUGGAUUUAGAGCUAUUGCCGCCACAGAGUUAGGAGGCGAGGAGGCAUGGCCUCUUUUAAGACGUGCUAUGUGUAUGGAAAUGCAAUUGAACAGAGACCAAUAUAUAAAUUUGUACUUAUCGCAGGAGUUGUUAGACGAUGUUAUAUUUAGAAUUGGUUCACACGGCAAUGGACUUGCUCCUUAUAUUCACUAGGUGGAUGCACCGAUGGCAUUGUACUCUACAGCAACGUUUCUUAACAUUGGCAUUGUUUAUUCUGGUUUUGCUGACGGUAAUUCGCUGUAUAACUGUUUGGUUCUUCCGUUAAGGAAAGCAUCGGGCGUGCAUAGUGUCAACAAAGUUAUACAUAUAUGUUGGGUAAAUGGAAAUCAUUUUUGUUCAACUAUUAAUGAACGAUGAUUCAUCUCCACUGCCGCCAGUCCAUCAACGUUGGAGAGAAGCAGUUGACAAUUUUUUUCAGACAUAUAGAAAUGUAUUUUACUAGUAGGAUUAUGCUUUGGAAUAAACUAUGCGGGCCACGACCACCACAACGUAAUAACACCGCUGAAGAUGCUGUAAAUUUAUAUAGUCCAUAAUGUAACGUGAUGUGUAAAUCAUUAUUCAGUUUUAGUAUAGAAAUUGUAGAUGGGAUUCAAUUUGUAGAUAGUCCAUAGUUAUACUAUUGUGUACGUCAUUACUAUAGAAAUUGUAGAUGAAACUCAUUGUGUAUAAUAGUGUUGUAAAUUAAUAAAAGCAUUGAUGUAAACAUGAAUUAAAUUUAAUGUAAAAAGCGUUGAUGUAAAUAAAUAAACGCAUUAAUGUAAAUUAGUUUAAAUACAGACUAUGAAAGGUUAUGCCCCUUA